GACGAACGCUGGCGGCGUGCUUAACACAUGCAAGUCGAACGAUGAACCACUUCGGUGGGGAUUAGUGGCGAACGGGGAGUAACACGUGGGCAAUCUGCCCUUCACUCUGGGACAAGCCCUGGAAACGGGGUCUAAUACCGGAUACGACACUCUCGGGCAUCCGAUGAGUGUGGAAAGCUCCGGCGGUGAAGGAUGAGCCCGCGGCCUAUCAGCUUGUUGGUGAGGUAACGGCUCACCAAGGCGACGACGGGUAGCCGGCCUGAGAGGGCGACCGGCCACACUGGGACUGAGACACGGCCCAGACUCCUACGGGAGGCAGCAGUGGGGAAUAUUGCACAAUGGGCGAAAGCCUGAUGCAGCGACGCCGCGUGAGGGAUGACGGCCUUCGGGUUGUAAACCUCUUUCAGCAGGGAAGAGCGAAAGUGACGGUACCUGCAGAAGAAGCGCCGGCUAACUACGUGCCAGCAGCCGCGGUAAUACGUAGGGCGCGAGCGUUGUCCGGAAUUAUUGGGCGUAAAGAGCUCGUAGGCGGUCUGUCGCGUCGGAUGUGAAAGCCCGGGGCUUAACCCCGGGUCUGCAUUCGAUACGGGCAGACUAGAGUGUGGUAGGGGAGAUCGGAAUUCCUGGUUGUAGCGGUGAAAAUGCGCAGAUAUCAGGAGGAACCACCCGGUGGCGAAGGCGGAUCUCUGGGCCAUUACUGACGCUGAGGAGCGAAAGCGUGGGGAGCGAAACAGGAUUAGAUACCCUGGGUAGUCCACGCCGUAAACGGUGGGAACUAGGUGUUGGCGACAUUCCACGUCGUCGGUGCCGCAGCUAACGCAUUAAGUUCCCCGCCUGGGGAGUACGGCCGCAAGGCUAAAACUCAAAGGAAUUGACGGGGGCCCGCACAAGCAGCGGAGCAUGUGGCUUAAUUUGACGCAACGCGAAGAACCUUACCAAGGCUUGACAUACACCGGAAACGGCCAGAGAUGGUCGCCCCCUUGUGGUCGGUGUACAGGUGGUGCAUGGCUGUUGUCAGCUCGUGUCGUGAGAUGUUGGGUUAAGUCCCGCAACGAGCGCAACCCUUGUUCUGUGUUGCCAGCAUGCCCUUCGGGGUGAUGGGGACUCACAGGAGACUGCCGGGGUCAACUCGGAGGAAGGUGGGGACGACGUCAAGUCAUCAUGCCCCUUAUGUCUUGGGCUGCACACGUGCUACAAUGGCAGGUACAAUGAGCUGCGAAGCCGUGAGGCGGAGCGAAUCUCAAAAAGCCUGUCUCAGUUCGGAUUGGGGUCUGCAACUCGACCCCAUGAAGUCGGAGUUGCUAGUAAUCGCAGAUCAGCAUUGCUGCGGUGAAUACGUUCCCGGGCCUUGUACACACCGCCCGUCACGUCACGAAAGUCGGUAACACCCGAAGCCGGUGGCCCAACCCGUAAGGGAGGGAGCUGUCGAAGGUGGGACUGGCGAUUGGGACGAAGUCGUAACAAGGUAGCCGCCG
rnacentral:rRNA from 1 species